AGCAGCCGCGGUAAUUCCAGCUCCAAUAGCGUAUAUUAAAGUUGUUGCAGUUAAAAAGCUCGUAGUUGAAUUUCGGGAUUGACACAUCGGUCGUGCCUUAAGGGGUAUGAACUGGUGUAGUCAAUUUCUCACCUUCUGGAGAACCGCGAUGCCCUUAAUUGGGUGCCGCGGGGAACCAGGACCUUUACUUUGAAAAAUUAGAGUGUUUAAAGCAGGCAUUUUGCUUGAAUACAUUAGCAUGGAAUAAUAAAAUAGGACGGCAUGAUUCUAUUUUGUUGGUUUCUAGGAUCACCGUAAUGAUUAAUAGGGAUAGUUGGGGGCAUUAGUAUUCAAUUGUCAGAGGUGAAAUUCUUGGAUUUAUUGAAGACUAACUACUGCGAAAGCAUUUGCCAAGGAUGUUUUCAUUAAUCAAGAACGAAAGUUAGGGGAUCGAAGACGAUCAGAUACCGUCGUAGUCUUAACCAUAAACUAUGCCGACUAGGAAUCAGACGAUGUUAAUUUUUAAUGUACUCGUUUGGCA
rnacentral:misc_RNA from 1 species